GCGGUUGGUCUUCUUCCAUCAAUUAUCUCUCACAUCUCACUGGAUUUUUUCCUCUUCAUUUUCUCUGAAUGAUAACAAUAAGUCGAAUCAGAACUCAAUUUUACUUCUUAUUAUCAAUGAGAUCCAUUAGUUUUGAGAUUCCUCUGAAUCAAUAUGAAGAAAUCUAGGGUUCUUAAUAACAAAUCUGUAUUUAAAGAAAAUUUCUCAUCACAAUCCAUGUUUCUUGAGUUUGGCUGGUGGUUUUGAUCAAAGGAUUUUUUUCUCUCCAGCUUUAGAGAAUACUACUUGUGGUUCACUUCUCUAAGAAUUACAGUAAGUAGAAGAAGAGGUUAUGUUCUGUUGGUGUUCAUCAAGGUGUUCUAUUAAUUCAUGGCGGAGCAAGGGAACAAACUGUAUGAGCUGACAGUUCGCAACCCUUGGGGAAAAGAUGCAAUUAUGUCUCUUCAAAUGUGCAAUUAGCGUUAGAAUUCCUUGGGCACCCUCUUCUGUUUGAUUUUGGGUUGCCAGAACAUGGAGGUGGAUUUAAUCCGGAGGAAGCUGAUGCUAACUUCCAAUAAAGCUGAUCCCUACAGCAUCAACAAGUUCGUCUUUGGGUAUUGAGACACUCAGAUGAAAAUACUAAAUGGGAAGAGAAAUACAAGGCAUAUAUUAAUACGUUUAACUGAAGACCAAUGAGCAAGCAUCAGGAUUACAUUCCCUGGUUAAGAGAUCAACUUCUAGGCACUCCCAUGACAGUUUUUCAUAGGCUUGUAAUUAGAGAGCUGAACACAUGGUCGCCUCUCCAUGUAUGUUUGUAUUAAUGAUAAUUCUUUGCUGGAGGAAUUCACCUAUUUUGAUGGGUAUAUGGAAGGUGACUCCAGCCCUGGAUGCUGGGAGUGCAGCUAUAAUAAAGGCCUUUUAGUUGACAUCCAUAUAAUAUUUCUCUCGUUCUUAUCUUUUUUAUCUUUCCUUUCUGUUUUUAUUUAUCUGCGUUCAUGUGAAUAUUUUUACCUUUCCUGACUAGCUCAUUGCAUAUUCGUUUUUGUAGUACUUGUUUAGAGUUGGGGGAUAUCUCUAGAGAAGUUGGUUUACCUUCUUGUGUACACAACAUUUUACUUGGAUUAAUUCCCGAAGCUGGUGCAGGUGAUUAAAUGUAAAGGCCUUGAAAUGGUUGGUUAGGACUGGAUUUUGGCAUUUUGUUUUAAACAUCUCCCAAGAGAAUAAGCCAAAAUGUGAAUGCUUAUGAAGAUCCAUAUGUGUUUAUUGCAUUUGCGAAUCAAGCUCCAUAGUUUCAACAUAUGUAUCCGACAACGAGUAUUGAGAUGGAGAUCAGUAUACUAUUCCACACUGUUGGACAGCUCAGUUUAUCAUCUUUUUUUGGUGUCUGGUUUGCAUCAGGAUGGAAGAACAAGCUAAAGGAGGAAUGCUGGAAUACGUACCUGGAGUAUGCUCGUUGUGUUGCACUAUCUCCAAGAAGAGGGAAUAAAACUGAUGAUACGGUAUAAAGAAGAUGGGCAGCGCCUUUUAUAGGCACGAUGUUUUUGGAGCUCGAAUGGAGGAAGGUUUCCUAUUUUUGGUUACACAUGGGAAGAGGCAAUCGGGCCCGCUAGCAACGCUCCAUGGCGCCAAGAGACCGUGGCCAAGCUAGCGCCAAGAGACCACCAGCGCCAUCUCCACGCUCCAGCCGGCACCAUCUCAUCCUAGUCGGCGCCAUCUCUGCAUCCCCUCCACUCCUAGCCAGCGCCAGCAGUCUGCAUGUUUCCAGCGCCAGCAACUUGCAUCCUUUCCAGCGCUAACAACCUGCAUCCUUUCCAGCGCCACCAUCUUGCAUCUUUCCAGCGCCAGCAGCCUGCAUGUUUUCAGCGCCAGCAGCUUGCAUCUUUUCCAGCGCCAACAACUUGCAUCUUUCCAGCGCCAGUAGCUUGCAUCCUUCAUGCGCCAGCAACCUGCAUGUUUCCAGCGCCAGCAGCUUGCAUCCUUUCCAGCGCUAACAACUUGCAUCCUUCCAGCGCUAACAACUUGCAUCUUUCUAGCGCCAGCAGCUUGCAUCCUUUCCAGCGCUAACAGGUUGCACCUUUCAAGCGCCAUCUUUUCACUCCACAGACAUCCAGAGUCCAGCGCCAUCCUCACCCUUCGAAACAACGCCAUGGUUCCAGCACUCAUUGAUCAAAACCACGCCAUCUCUGCACGAUACACCUACGAUCACGAGAACUAGAGCCGCUUCCGCCACCCCAACGUUUCUUCAAGUACGACAGCUCCAACAAUCACCAUAGCCGUUGAUACUCCACUAUCAGGGCAAGAGACUGGAGAAGCCGGAAGAAGCCGACCUCCUUUUACCACUAUUGAUUUGAUGGAAAGACAAAAGUUUCUCGUAAGGCUCAGACAGACGUGUCUAUAACUCAGAAAGAGAUACCUAUUUCCUCAUGACACUACAGAGCGAUCACCAUAAGAGUCACGUCAACCCAAGAGGGAGAUGACAAGGAAUACUUUUAACAUCCGGCGCAGGCACUUCAUCAGGAUGUGCUUUUAUAGAUGAAGAGGCUCGCGUUGCUCUUGA